UACGUAGGGCGCAAGCGUUGUCCGGAAUUAUUGGGCGUAAAGAGCUCGUAGGCGGUCUGUCGCGUCUGCCGUGAAAACCCGAGGCUUAACCUCGUGGCUUGCGGUGGAUACGGGCAGACUAGAGGUAGGUAGGGGAGAAUGGAAUUCCCGGUGUAGCGGUGAAAUGCGCAGAUAUCGGGAGGAACACCGGUGGCGAAGGCGGUUCUCUGGGCCUUGCCUGACGCUGAGGAGCGAAAGCGUGGGGAGCGAACAGG
rnacentral:rRNA from 1 species